ACCAGCGGAGGGAUCAUUACCGAGUUUACAACUCCCAAACCCCUGUGAACAUACCUUACUGUUGCCUCGGCGGAUCAGCCCGCUCCCGGUAAAACGGGACGGCCCGCCAGAGGACCCCUAAACUCUGUUUCUAUAUGUAACUUCUGAGUAAAACCAUAAAUAAAUCAAAACUUUCAACAACGGAUCUCUUGGUUCUGGCAUCGAUGAAGAACGCAGCAAAAUGCGAUAAGUAAUGUGAAUUGCAGAAUUCAGUGAAUCAUCGAAUCUUUGAACGCACAUUGCGCCCGCCAGUAUUCUGGCGGGCAUGCCUGUUCGAGCGUCAUUUCAACCCUCAAGCCCUCGGGUUUGGUGUUGGGGAUCGGCGAGCCUUUCUGGCAAGCCGGCCCCGAAAUCUAGUGGCGGUCUCGCUGCAGCCUCCAUUGCGUAGUAGUAAAACCCUCGCAACUGGAACGCGGCGCGGCCAAGCCGUUAAACCCCCAACUUCUGAAUGUUGACCUCGGAUCAGGUAGGAAUACCCGCUGAACUUAAGCAUAUC
rnacentral:rRNA from 1 species